UUCACAAGCACAAGUAGAUAUGAAAACUUUAACUACACAAAAAUACUUAUUCAACUCUUGAUACAAUCAUUUAACUCACAUAUAACAUUCAAAAGUUCCUCCUCAUCAUUCUGUGAAUGAUAUAACAACAUAAAUACUCAACAAUAUUUCAAAACUUUCCAAUAGCUCUUCUAAUAUCAAUCAAGUCGACAACAUAAGGAGUCACGUAACUUUAGAUUGUAAAUCAUGAUUCCAAAUGGUAGAAACCAAAUUAAAAAACAACUUAAACUACUUCUCCUUCGUACCAAACUACUUGCUAAUGCAAUUGUCCAAAUAAACCUUAUUUCAUGAAUUUUCUCCUAUUUAAUCACUCUUUUGACCUUAUUACUUAAUAAUUAUGCAAGAUCAUAAUCAACUUCUACUACAUAAGAUCCAUUCUCAUCUCUACUUCUCUUGGCAGGAUUCCAUGAAGGAGAAAGUAUCCCAUUAUCAGUCAUGAAAACCUACAAAAAGAAAAUAGUUAACAAAAAAUCAAAAAAGAUAAAUAAAUUAUUAGAAUUGUUAUAAAUAGACUUCUAUUUAAGGUGAAUGUCUAUAAUUAGAGAGAUUCUAGAGU
rnacentral:lncRNA from 1 species